AAAGCAUCUAAGCGUGAAGCCCCCCUCAAGAUGAGAUUUCCCUGCUUGAAGACCCCAUGUAGACGACGUGGUUGAUAGGUUCGGGGUGGAAGCGCGGCAACGCGUGGAGCUGACGAAUACUAAUCGGUCGAGGACUUAUCCAACAUU
rnacentral:rRNA from 1 species